rnacentral:rRNA from 1 species
CGGUACUCCGAAUGCACUAGAGUUUAAUUUGAUCAUGGCUCAGAGUCACGCUGGUNGUAGGCCUAACACAUGCAAGUCGAACGGCAGCACAGGAGAGCUUGCUCUCUGGGUGGCGAGUGGCGGACGGGUGAGGAAUACAUCGGAAUCUACUCCGUCGUGGGGGAUAACGUAGGAAACUUACGCUAAUACCCGCAUACGACCUACGGGUGAAGGCAGGGGAUCUUCGGACCUUGCGCGAUUGAAUGAGCCGAUGUCGGAUUAGCUAGUUGGCGGGGUAAAGGCCCACCAAGGCGACGAUCCGUAGCUGGUCUGAGAGGAUGGUCAGCCACACUGGAACUGAGACACGGUCCAGACUCCUACGGGAGGCAGCAGUGGGGAAUAUUGGACGAUGGGCGCAAGCCUGAUCCAGCCAUACCGCGUGGGUAGAAGAAGGCCUUCGGGUUGUAAAGCCCUUUUGUUGGGAAAGAAAUCCAGCCGGCUAAUACCUGGUUGGGAUGACGGUACCCAAAGAAUAAGCACCGGCUAACUUCGUGCCAGGCAGCCGCGGUACUCACGACNGGGUGCAAGGCGUUUACUCGGGCAAUUACUGGGCGUAAAUGACGUUGCGUA